CCGGGCCGGGCCGGGCCGCUCCUGGCUGUCGCGCCGUCCGCCCCGCGCCGCCUCCCGCUGCUGCCCCUGCCGGCGCGGAAGAGCCUCGGCGGACUCGGGGCGUGCCACCGCCCUAGCGGGUCGCGGGCGGGACGGGCGCGGGGGCGCGGCCUUCGUCCCCCGCCCACAGCGGGCGCGCAGCAGCCCCAAAUGCACAAGACCCGACCUAGGGCCCCGCGUCCGGGUCCCCUGCAGCAUCCCUGGCGACCCUGGGCCCACUGACGCCACGGGCGCGCCGGAGCCCGGCUCUAGGGUGAGCCGGGCCUGUGGGCAAUGACGGCAGGCCUGUGAGCGUGGUCAGGCGGCAGGACACCGGUCCGUUGCUCUUCCCUGGCAAAGCAGGUGAGAAUGUCAAAUGUUGCUGAGCUUCUUGGAAAAUACCUGUUCCUAAAAGAUAAACCAAGGGGUGACCGUUUGUCCUGGCAGUUUCACUGCUUGUUAAAAAAACAUACAAGAGAAACGAAAACAUAUACCCACACAGUCUCUACAUAGAGGUUGACAGUAGCAUGUUUCCUAAUAACCCAGAGGGAGGAAACUCCAGUGGAAUAUAGUGUUUGAAAAUAAAGUACAGACACAUGCCACAAAAUCAGUGAACGUUGAAGAUGCCUGAGUCAAGCCACACAGAGCUAAAUUCUAUCCCGACGAUAAAGGCAAAUGCAUGGAGUGUGGAGUAUUAGUCCCCUUCUACUGGAGGUGAGGUUGGGGUACUAGUUUCCUGACGUGAGAAUAUUCUAAAACUGUUGUUAUACAACUAUGAAUACACUCGAAGUCACAGAAUUGUACACUAUAACCAGCAAGUUACAUCUCUAUAUGUGAAUUACAUAAAAUAACAUAGGGUACACUUUUUAAUCAUAUUCCCAAGCCGUGUGUUAGUGCCUACCUCAGAAUGUAUGCUCUGUAAACAGUUGUUGAAUUUUCUAAAGGGGAUAAACUGUCUAUUUUUUCAAGCCAAAUAUUUCUGUAGUUUUUUUUUUAAUCUGAAAAUUAAUCACUUUGUUAUAAUUCUUAAAAACACCCAUCAUGGGUCUUUAUACGAUAGAGUUCCCUUUGGUUUGCUCCCCAGUCAUUUGCAAGAUGGCUCAGGGGACGACCUGAGUUUGAUUCUCCUAACUCCCCCAAGUCCUCGGACUUCUUUAUCUGUGUCUCCCUCAUGCAUAACUAAAUGCAAAAAUAAAACACCAAGCCUUAACACUACUGCCCAAAUACUGGACAUCUUUAUUCUGAAGGAAUGAGGGUGGUAAUUUUCCAGAGACAGGCUCUACUUUACAAGGUCAGAUCUGAGUCACGGUGUUCUUUAAAGCAUUUGCGAUUCACAUUCAAUGUGAGCCACAAAACAGUAAUAUUAGAUACCAAACUUGUCCUCUCACAUUGCUGAUAACAAGGCUGCCUUCUCUAAUCUCAGGAGCUUGGGCCCUCUGACAACCCAUGUUAUGUUCAUGUGUUAACAGAUGAAACUAACCCAGUUCAGUUACAUUUUAAAAUAAUACAAAAGAUUUUGGAUUUUUUGUUUUUUUGUUUGUUUUGAAUGAGAACAGUCAUUGUUCUGUUUACCUCUCCAGAAAGCACUUUGCACUUCAAACUUCCCUCAAGGAUCUGUUUGAGAUACUUGUUCUCAGUCUAACCCAGCCUGGCCUCCAGUUUGAGGCAAUUCCCUUGUCUGAACCUCCUGUUAGGUUAGAGGACUGAAAGAUGUGAACCACCACAACCAAACACCUGUCUGUGUGUCUCCAUUUUCCCUCCUCCUUUCCUCCCUCCCUCUCCUCCGCACACUGGAAGGUUUGUUUAUUUUGAAGACAGGGUCUUAGUAGUCUUGAACUGCUGAGCUUUAAAUGAUGAGCUUGACUAAAGUCCAAGAAGAUAGGACUUUAGAGCAUGUUCACAGGCCCAGUGCAAGAAGGACUAAACUCUAAAGUCCUAUUUAAAGACUGUGUGUAUUUGUGUGUGCCUGCACAAGUCUAUGUGUAUCACAUGUAUGCAAGCCGCCACCAGGCCUCAGAUCCUCUGUAACUGCAGUCUCAGGCAGUUAUGAGCUGCCAUGUGGGUGCUGAGAAUUACACCUGGUGCUUCUGAUGAGUAGCCAGAGGUCCUAACUGUUGAGCCAUCCCUCUAAAGUCUUACAAAGUAGCUCCCACUUGUGACCCUGCAGAUGAAGAAACAGUCCUUAAUGAUACAAACCACAGGUAGUUAAUAUAACUGCACUGCAACUUUAAGGACCCAGUCUUCAGGCUCUGAAUCUGUCAACUGAGAGAUAGCCAGGCAAUGGUGGCUUACGAGUUUAAUUGAAGCAUUUGGGAGAGGCCAGCCUUGUCUACAGAGUGAGUUCUAAGGCAGCCAGGGCUACAUAGAGCCUAUCUCAAAAAUAAGGGGGACACACACACACACACAUCGAUGGAUAAUCUAAGACCAUCAGGUCCUUGCCACUGUGCCAAAGUGGUUCCUUACCCAGUGGACCUCACCACAGACAAGGAAACAGAACUAUGCAGGAUCACUACUAGUAUUCUAAAUUUAGCAAGCCCUCCAGCACUCAGAACUAUCCCAAAUAAUUAGUCAUUCAGUUUUAAAUGUUUUUAUUGAAAUAACAGUGAAAUAAAGUUUUUAAAAAGAACAAUGAUCAUUUUGAUCAAACUUUUGCUUUACAAAUAUAAAAAACAUAACCCAAAACUCCAGUUUCUGUAUACAAUCCUAUAAACAGACCAGGUUUAAGUUCUCAAAGCCACAACUAUAAAUGGUGCUUGUAUACCAUACAUGAGCAUAAUAACCAACUUUUCUGUUUGGAGGACACAUGGAUUGAACACAGAGCUUUCUAGUCAAGCCUCUCCCAUUGAGCAGCAGCCCUAGCCAAAGGUUUUGCUUCUCAACAGAUUGCUCUUCUCUCGAUGGAGCAGUUUAAUUUCUAUAUUUCCUCUAACUUAGCUCUAGCCUUAAUUCCUCACUAAAAUACAAAGUGGACUUAACUGGCUUAAUCUUGAUAUAUUUGGUUGGUUUUUCUUUUUCCCCUCAAAAUAGCCAUAUGUGUUAUAUGAGCUAACAGGUGAAUUUAAUGGCUCCAGAUCAAUUUUCCAGCUUGUAUUUAAACAGAGGCAAACUCAAGUGAGUCCAGUCUAACCCAUGUAAGUGACAGAAAACAAGUGGAAUGUGUUGGAAAA
rnacentral:sRNA from 1 species